GGUUAAGUUAAUAAGGGCGCACGGUGGAUGCCUUGGCACUAGAAGCCGAUGAAGGACGUGACUAACAACGAAAUGCUUUGGGGAGCUGUAAGUGAGCAAUGAUCCAGAGAUGUCCGAAUGGGGGAACCCGGCAGGUAAUGCCUGUCACUCAUUACUGUUAAGGUAAUGUAGAGGAAGACGCAGUGAACUGAAACAUCUAAGUAGCUGCAGGAAGAGAAAGCAAAAGCGAUUGCCUUAGUAGCGGCGAGCGAAACGGCAAGAGGGCAAACCGAAGAGUUUACUCUUCGGGGUUGUAGGACUGCAACGUGGACUUAAAGAUUAUAGAAGAACUACCUGGGAAGGUAGGCCAAAGAGAGUAAUAGCCUCGUAUUCGAAAUAGUCUUUAUACCUAGCAGUAUCCUGAGUACGGCGAGACACGAGAAAUCUCGUCGGAAUCUGGGAGGACCAUCUCCCAACCCUAAAUACUCUCUAGUGACCGAUAGUGAACCAGUACCGUGAGGGAAAGGUGAAAAGCACCCCGGGAGGGGAGUGAAAUAGAACCUGAAACCGUGUGCCUACAACAAGUUCGAGCCCGUUAAUGGGUGAGAGCGUGCCUUUUGUAGAAUGAACCGGCGAGUUACGAUAUGAUGCGAGGUUAAGUUGAAGAGACGGAGCCGUAGGGAAACCGAGUCUUAAUAGGGCGCAUUAGUAUCAUGUCGUAGACCCGAAACCAUGUGACCUACCCAUGAGCAGGUUGAAGGUGAGGUAAAACUCACUGGAGGACCGAACCAGGGCACGUUGAAAAGUGCUUGGAUGACUUGUGGGUAGCGGAGAAAUUCCAAACGAACUUGGAGAUAGCUGGUUCUCUCCGAAAUAGCUUUAGGGCUAGCGUCGAUGUUAAGUCUCUUGGAGGUAGAGCACUGUUUGGGUGAGGGGUCCAUCCCGGAUUACCAAUCUCAGAUAAACUCCGAAUGCCAAUGAGAUAUAAUCGGCAGUCAGACUGCGAGUGCUAAGAUCCGUAGUCGAAAGGGAAACAGCCCAGACCACCAGCUAAGGUCCCAAAAUAUAUGUUAAGUGGAAAAGGAUGUGGGGUUGCACAGACAACUAGGAUGUUAGCUUAGAAGCAGCUAUUCAUUCAAAGAGUGCGUAAUAGCUCACUAGUCGAGUGACCCUGCGCCGAAAAUGUACCGGGGCUAAAACAUAUUACCGAAGCUGUGGAUACCUUUAUAGGUAUGGUAGGAGAGCGUUCUAUGUGCGAAGAAGGUGUACCGUGAGGAGUGCUGGAGCGCAUAGAAGUGAGAAUGCCGGUAUGAGUAGCGAAAGACAGGUGAGAAUCCUGUCCACCGUAAGACUAAGGUUUCCAGGGGAAGGCUCGUCCGCCCUGGGUUAGUCGGGACCUAAGGAGAGACCGAAAGGUGUAUCCGAUGGACAACAGGUUGAUAUUCCUGUACUAGAGUAUAUAGUGAUGGAGGGACGCAGUAGGCUAACUAAACCAGACGAUUGGAAGUGUCUGGCCAAGCAGUGAGGUGUGAUAUGAGUCAAAUGCUUAUAUCUCUAACAUUGAGCUGUGAUGGGGAGCGAAGUUUAGUAGCGAAGUUAGUGAUGUCACACUGCCGAGAAAAGCUUCUAGCGUUAAUUAUACUCUACCCGUACCGCAAACCGACACAGGUAGUCGAGGCGAGUAGCCUCAGGUGAGCGAGAGAACUCUCGUUAAGGAACUCGGCAAAAUGGCCCCGUAACUUCGGGAGAAGGGGCGCUGACUGAUGGUCAGCCGCAGUGAAUAGGCCCAAGCAACUGUUUAUCAAAAACACAGCUCUCUGCUAAAUCGUAAGAUGAUGUAUAGGGGGUGACGCCUGCCCGGUGCUGGAAGGUUAAGAGGAGUGCUUAGCGUAAGCGAAGGUAUGAAUUGAAGCCCCAGUAAACGGCGGCCGUAACUAUAACGGUCCUAAGGUAGCGAAAUUCCUUGUCGGGUAAGUUCCGACCCGCACGAAAGGCGUAAUGAUUUGGGCACUGUCUCAACGAGAGACUCGGUGAAAUUUUAGUACCUGUGAAGAUGCAGGUUACCCGCGACAGGACGGAAAGACCCCAUGGAGCUUUACUGCAGUUUGAUAUUGAGUAUCUGUACCACAUGUACAGGAUAGGUAGGAGCCUAUGACCUCGGGACGCCAGUUUCGAGUGAGGCGUUGUUGGGAUACUACCCUUGUGUUAUGGCUACUCUAACCCAGAUAGGUUAUCCCUAUCGGAGACAGUGUCUGACGGGCAGUUUGACUGGGGCGGUCGCCUCCUAAAAGGUAACGGAGGCGCCCAAAGGUUCCCUCAGAAUGGUUGGAAAUCAUUCGCAGAGUGUAAAGGUAUAAGGGAGCUUGACUGCGAGAGCUACAACUCGAGCAGGGACGAAAGUCGGGCUUAGUGAUCCGGUGGUUCCGUAUGGAAGGGCCAUCGCUCAACGGAUAAAAGCUACCCUGGGGAUAACAGGCUUAUCUCCCCCAAGAGUUCACAUCGACGGGGAGGUUUGGCACCUCGAUGUCGGCUCGUCGCAUCCUGGGGCUGUAGUCGGUCCCAAGGGUUGGGCUGUUCGCCCAUUAAAGCGGCACGCGAGCUGGGUUCAGAACGUCGUGAGACAGUUCGGUCCCUAUCCGUCGCGGGCGUAGGAAAUUUGAGAGGAUCUGCUCCUAGUACGAGAGGACCAGAGUGGACUUACCGCUGGUGUACCAGUUGUUCUGCCAAGAGCAUCGCUGGGUAGCUAUGUAGGGAAGGGAUAAACGCUGAAAGCAUCUAAGUGUGAAGCCCACCUCAAGAUGAGAUUUCCCAUGAUUUUAUAUCAGUAAGAGCCCUGAGAGAUGAUCAGGUUGAUAGGUUAGAAGUGGAAGUGUGGUGACACAUGUAGCGGACUAAUACUAAUAGCUCGAGGACUUAUCCAA
rnacentral:rRNA from 1 species